rnacentral:rRNA from 1 species
AUGUUUCGGAUAUAUUUACUUACAUUUGAUGGGUAUUUGCGCGUUCAUUUUCAAAAUUACAGUAGAACUAAAGAGAGUUCCUUGUAUUCAAUAUCCUUAUGGGGAAAAAGGAUACCCAAAGGAGUGAAUAGGGAUUUCGUUUUAUCAACAACGAAGAGUGGAGUUUCUUUUUUUUCACAAAAUAUACCAAAAAUUCAAGGUAAUACAAGAAAUAGGAUAGGGUCCUUUACUACGUCUUUUGGGGCUAAAAAAACUUUUGCCUAUCCACAUGAAACGGGAAAUACUAUGUUAUUUCCUCUUCUUAUAUUACUACUUUUCACUUUGUUCAUUGGAUUCAUAGGAAUCUCUUUUGAUAAUGGAGGAAUUGGUAAUGGAAUAGCAGAGUUAACCAUAUUAUCAAAGUGGUUAACUCCCUCAAUAAACUUUACUCAGGAAAGUUCUAAUUCUUUUGUAAUUUAUUACUAA